UACGUAGGUGGCAAGCGUUGUCCGGAUUUAUUGGGUUUAAAGGGUGCGUAGGCGGCUUUUUAAGUCAGUGGUGAAAUACUUCAGCUUAACUGGAGAGGUGCCAUUGAUACUGGGAUGCUUGGGUACUGAUGAGGUAGGCGGAAUGGACGGUGUAGCGGUGAAAUGCUUAGAUAUCGUCAAGAACACCGAUAGCGAAGGCAGCUUACUAAGGAGUAACUGACGCUGAUGCACGAAAGUGUGGGGAUCAAACAGG
rnacentral:rRNA from 1 species